rnacentral:rRNA from 1 species
CAGUCGCCGCGGUAAUACAGAGGGUGCGAGCGUUAAUCGGAUUUACUGGGCGUAAAGCGUGCGUAGGCGGCUUUUUAAGUCGGAUGUGAAAUCCCUGAGCUUAACUUAGGAAUUGCAUUCGAUACUGGGAAGCUAGAGUAUGGGAGAGGAUGGUAGAAUUCCAGGUGUAGCGGUGAAAUGCGUAGAGAUCUGGAGGAAUACCGAUGGCGAAGGCAGCCAUCUGGCCUAAUACUGACGCUGAGGUACAAAAGCAUGGGGAGCAAACAGGAUUAGAUACCCCCGUAGUCCCUGUCUCUUAUAC